UACGGGGGGGGCAAGCGUUGUUCGGAAUUACUGGGCGUAAAGGGCUCGUAGGCGGCCAACUAAGUCAGACGUGAAAUCUCUCGGCUUAACCGGGGAACUGCGUCUGAUACUGGAUGGCUUGAAUCCGGGAGAGGGAUGCGGAAUUCCAGGUGUAGCGGUGAAAUGCGUAGAUAUCUGGAGGAACACCGGUGGCGAAGGCGGCAUCCUGGACCGGCAUUGACGCUGAGGAGCGAAAGCCAGGGGAGCAAACGGG
rnacentral:rRNA from 1 species